UUGCUUUGGCAGCAUACAUACUAAAACUGGAAAGAUACAGAGAAAAUUAGCUUGGCUCCUACGCAAGGAUGACACGCAAAUUCAUGAAGCAUUCCACAUUAAA
ensembl:snRNA RNU6-778P RNA, U6 small nuclear 778, pseudogene